UGGGGAAUUUUGGACGAAUGGGCGAAAGCCUGAUCCAGCAAUGCCGCGUGUGUGAAGAAGGCCUUCGGGUUGUAAAGCACUUUUGUCCGGAAAGAAAUCCUUGGCUCUAAUACAGUCGGGGGAUGACGGUACCGGAAGAAUAAGCACCGGCUAACUACGUGCCAGCAGCCGCGGUAAUACGUAGGGUGCAAGCGUUAAUCGGAAUUACUGGGCGUAAAGCGUGCGCAGGCGGUUUGCUAAGACCGAUGUGAAAUCCCCGGGCUCAACCUGGGAACUGCAUUGGUGACUGGCAGGCUAGAGUAUGGCAGAGGGGGGUAGAAUUCCACGUGUAGCAGUGAAAUGCGUAGAGAUGUGGAGGAAUACCGAUGGCGAAGGCAGCCCCCUGGGCAAUACUGACGCUCAUGCACGAAAGCGUGGGGAGCAAACAGGAUUAGAUACCCUGGUAGUCCACGCCCUAAACGAUGUCAACUAGUUGUUGGGGAUUCAUUUCCUUAGUAACGUAGCUAACGCGUGAAGUUGACCGCCUGGGGAGUACGGUCGCAAGAUUAAAACUCAAAUGAAUUGACGGGGUCAUAGCUGUUUCCU
rnacentral:rRNA from 1 species